UGGUGGAGUGAUUUGUCUGGUUAAUUCCGUUAACGAACGAGACCCCUGCCUGCUAAAUAGUCAGUUUGGUGAUCUUCACUGGGUCUGGCUUCUUAGAGGGACGUGCAUUCGACUAGUUGCAGGAAGAUAGGGGCAAUAACA
rnacentral:rRNA from 1 species